rnacentral:misc_RNA from 1 species
CACAGGUGUUGAGCUCUCCAGUCAACUGCAAAAUUAUCAUCAUUAUCAUCAUCGCUUGACGGCUCUUCUUGACUAUACUCUUUUCCAGCAGCACUAGAAUCUCUGCUACGCUUGGCAGACCUAGCAGCCAUCAACUCCUUUCGCUUCUUCCUCAGCGAUUCAACUUUUUCCCUAUACGUCUUUUGCUCCAAUGAUUCGGCCUCUUCUAACAUUUCAGCUGCAUCAAUCUCCUCUUCUUCUAAACGGUCAUCCACUUCUUGCAAGUCUUCUUGGAUCAACUUCUCAAAUUCCUUGUACUCAUCUUUAACAUCUGGCUUAACAGGCUUAAUGCCACGAGCAAGCAAAUCUGCUUCCUUAUCAUCAAAGAAGCCUUCAGGAAGAGCUCCCUUCACUUGCUUUGUUUCUGAACCAGUAAUUUCUCUUGGCGUACGCUUUUGCUCCCUCGCAUGUCCACUGGCUUUUGUUUGCAAUUCAUUACCAGUAGGUAAUCCAUCCAUCGCAUUUUUUAAAGACNNNNNNNNUACCUUGAGCAGAAACACCUGACUUUUUACGUGAAUCUGGAUUCAAUGACUUGGCAGCAUCCAUAGCAACCCGAGAAUAAUUUCAACGUGAACAAUGGGUACAAUGUCCGGAAUAGGGGAAGAAGCACUGGGUUUGGGCUUUUGGCUGUCGUUGUUCAGGUACGUCUAGGAGACUUGGGUCCUUGCUGGUCCGUUUCAGAUGGAUACGGCAAAACUAAGGGAUUUGAUGGGUCUGUGCAGAUAUUCUUGAUGGGUCGAUUGAUUUUGUGGAGUGGAAUGGAAUUGAAGAUGAGAAUAAAGGGAAACUGAUUUUGAUGCGUAAAUGGCUUUGUGACCAGAGUAAAAGAUGUGAGGGAAGAAGGAAUAAUGGUUUGUGUAUAUGGGUAAAAACAAAGGUGAGAGUGAAAUGCGUUUCAGCUUUGGUGGCGUGAAGGAGAUGAGGUGCUGGUGGUAUUCGGCUUGACAAUCUGGGCUUAAUGGAAUGCAGGCGGAGGAAGCUGCUGUGUGAUGGUGAUGAUGAGUUGGAACAAUGUGAAUGUAACAAGGUGGGUUUUGGGUUUUGUUAAAGAAGGAAGAAGAGAAGGGAAGAAGGCAGUCUC